rnacentral:rRNA from 1 species
GAUGAACGCUGGCGGCGUGCCUAAUACAUGCAAGUCGAGCGAACGGACGAGAAGCUUGCUUCUCUGAUGUUAGCGGCGGACGGGUGAGUAACACGUGGAUAACCUACCUAUAAGACUGGGAUAACUUCGGGAAACCGUAGCUAAUACCGGAUAAUAUUUUGAACCGCAUGGUUCAAAAGUGAAAGACGGUCUUGCUGUCACUUAUAGAUGGAUCCGCGCUGCAUUAGCUAGUUGGUAAGGUAACGGCUUACCAAGGCAACGAUGCAUAGCCGACCUGAGAGGGUGAUCGGCCACACUGGAACUGAGACACGGUCCAGACUCCUACGGGAGGCAGCAGUAGGGAAUCUUCCGCAAUGGGCGAAAGCCUGACGGAGCAACGCCGCGUGAGUGAUGAAGGUCUUCGGAUCGUAAAACUCUGUUAUUAGUGAAGAACAUAUGUGUAAGUAACUGUGCACAUCUUGACGGUACCUAAUCAGAAAGCCACGGCUAACUACGU